rnacentral:tRNA from 1 species
CGGGUAGUAGCGCAGGGGGAGCGCGCUUGGUUCGGGACCAAGAGGCCGCGGGUUCAAAUCCCGCCUGCCCGA